rnacentral:rRNA from 1 species
AUUGAACGCUGGCGGCAUGCCUUACACAUGCAAGUCGAACGGCAGCACGGGAGCAAUCCUGGUGGCGAGUGGCGAACGGGUGAGUAAAGCAUCGGAACGUGCCCAGUUGUGGGGGAUAACGUAGCGAAAACUACGCUAAUACCGCAUACGAUCUGUGGAUGAAAGCGGGGGACCGUAAGGCCUCGCGCGAUUGGAGCGGCCGAUGUCAGAUUAGGUAGUUGGUGAGGUAAAGGCUCACCAAGCCGACGAUCUGUAGCUGGUCUGAGAGGACGACCAGCCACACUGGGACUGAGACACGGCCCAGACUCCUACGGGAGGCAGCAGUGGGGAAUUUUGGACAAUGGGCGCAAGCCUGAUCCAGCAAUGCCGCGUGCAGGAUGAAGGCCUUCGGGUUGUAAACUGCUUUUGUACGGAGCGAAACGGCUUCCACUAAUACUGGGGGCUAAUGACGGUACCGUAAGAAUAAGCACCGGCUAACUACGUGCCAGCCGCCGCAGUAAGAC